AUUAUUAUUAUUUACAUUCUUGUUAUAUGUUAUGUACGUUAAGUAUGCUCUGUGUUUGAUCAAGGAUCCUGACAUUGUUGGUCUUGCCUUAUUCAUUCACAUCAGAAAUCUGUUUAUAUUAUAUAAUAUAUCUCUUUGAUCUUUUCAUAAAAUCAGUAUAUAGGCUGGAAACCUGUGACCCGAUCUUUUAGAUCAUUCUCAGGUAUAACAACG
rnacentral:lncRNA from 1 species